rnacentral:rRNA from 1 species
AUUGAACGCUGGCGGCAUGCUUUACACAUGCAAGUCGAACGGCAGCACGGACUUCGGUCUGGUGGCGAGUGGCGAACGGGUGAGUAAUACAUCGGAACGUGCCCAGUUGUGGGGGAUAACUACUCGAAAGAGUAGCUAAUACCGCAUGAGAACUGAGGUUGAAAGCAGGGGAUCGUGAGACCUUGCGCAACUGGAGCGGCCGAUGGCAGAUUAGGUAGUUGGUGGGAUAAAAGCUUACCAAGCCGACGAUCUGUAGCUGGUCUGAGAGGACGACCAGCCACACUGGGACUGAGACACGGCCCAGACUCCUACGGGAGGCAGCAGUGGGGAAUUUUGGACAAUGGGCGAGAGCCUGAUCCAGCAAUGCCGCGUGCAGGAUGAAGGCCUUCGGGUUGUAAACUGCUUUUGUACGGAACGAAAAGCUUCGGGCUAAUACCCUGGAGUCAUGACGGUACCGUAAGAAUAAGCACCGGCUAACUACGUGCCAGCCGCCGCCGUAACAC